CACCCUAGCAGUGGGCAAAGAGACACUUCGUUGGUGGUGUUGUUCUUAUAUCAGCCAAGGACAGAGCAGAUGGCGGUCCUUUGUUCAUUCUAGCUUGAUGCCCAGCUUGGUGGACAAAGCUAUCUUAUGCCUAGAACUCAUAA